rnacentral:rRNA from 1 species
UUACCCUGAACACACCUGGUCUCAGAAGCUAAGCAGGGUCAGGCCUGGUUAGUAUUUGCAUGGGAGACACUCGUUUUACUGCUGUUUUUCUCUCCGGAAGCCCUUGU